rnacentral:lncRNA from 1 species
UACAACUCUGUGGAGAAGUUCAAUCAACAAGAAAAUCUGUUGAUAUUCUGCUACUCUAUUCAUCUUCGACCCAGUUUCUGAAAGUUCUGGUCUACUCAAUCAGUAUACAGAUCGAUCAUCUCGGCUUCAUAGCCAAAGCUACCGUCUCACCGAUCCUUAGAUCGUAUUCUGAUCUACCGAUCAAUAGAUCGGAGACAUCUAUCUCUGAUAGGUCUCUGUUUUGGAUUCUUUUAUUUUGGGUUUAAUUAAGUGAAACAGAAAUCUCUGUUUCAGAUUACUCAUAGGAUAUUUUGACCCAUAGUGUUUAUUUUUACCUUGGAGAACAAAAUCUUAGAAAUGUUUUGGUUUGUUAAUUUUCCUUCCAUACAAGCUUGUUCUUUGGCUUGUUGGCUGUAAAAUUAGAUUUUCAGUAUGGUUUAUUUCACUUUGAUUUUGUUCUGAAAUAUGACUUAGAAUAUUUUCUGAAUUAGCUAUUUGGUUAUUCAGAAUAUUUUGUCCAGAGCUUUUCUUCUUGCUCUGGAUUUUGGACUUGUUUUCCAAAGGACUUUUCAUUUUCAAGAGGGUUUAUUCUUCCCUGAUUCUGUUAUGAAAUAUGCCCUGAGGUAUUUUUUGAAAAAUACUGUUGGCUAUUCAGAAUAUUAUGUCCAGAGCUUUCUUCUUUCUCUGGACUUUGAGUUUGUUUUUCUAAUGAUUCCUUAUGUUCAGAGUAUGUGUUAUUUAUAUUUUCUUCUGUUUGAUUGAACUCAUUUCUUUCUAAUGAUUUAUUUUCAAAACAGAUAUUUUUUAAGACAGAUCUUUUAAUGGUAUUAUUUUCAUUAGGCUGAUCUUCUCCAGCUAUGUCUAAUGUUUUUUAUUUUGCUUUUUCCAGGUAUGACUAGAUUUAAAAUUUCUGUUUUGCUACUGGUUUCAUAAUCAGAUAAUAUUUCAGCUUGUGGUAUACUAUUUUUGGAUUUGCUGUUAUUUUUAAAAUCUGAUUUUAUAUUUUCAAAUUGCAUUUAUUUUCAUCAUGUUGAUGAAUAAUUUGAUUAUAUAGAUUUUGUAAUGGGUUUUGAUCUAUUUCUUUAUUUUUUAUAUUUUUAGGUAUAUCUUAGAAUGGAAAUAUAUUUUCCCAAAAAACAACAUUUUUAGAAAUAUGAAAUUUCAGAUUUUCUAUUUCUAAGAUUAGAUAUCCUUUUGUAUUGGAUGGAUAUCCCAUAAAAAAUCCUUUGAAUGUUCUUCGUGAAAAUUUAUGUUCCCUAUUAUUUGUGGUUGCAUAACACAAACACCCAAAAGUUUUAAAAUUAUUAUAAUUGGGGUUUUGUUUAUGUAAGAUUUCAUAAGGGGUUUUGUUUUCCAAUACCCUAGAAGCACUGCAUUUUCAAAGUGCAGUACCUCUAUAAUACUAGGGGAAUGCAUCUUAACUGCUGGUAUGAAUUUCGCGACAGAAAAAAAAUUUCCUGGGAAAAGAGUGUUGGCAGACUAGCCCCUAGGACUUUUUGUAAAAAAAUUAAUUUAAUAAUUUUAUUUUAAAAUAUAUUUUAUUUAUAUAUAUUUUUUUAAAAUAAUUAAUUUUAUUAAAAUUAUUAUGAAA